rnacentral:rRNA from 1 species
GACAGAGGCCUCAAGCGUUUAGGCGGAAUCACUGGGCUUAAAGCGUGUGUAGGCGGAUCGUUAAGUGUCUUGUGAAAUCCCACGGCUCACCCGUGGAACUGCUGGGCAUACUGGCGAUCUUGGGCCAACUAGGGGCAACUGGAACAAGCGGUGGAGCGGUGAAAUGCGUAGAUAUCAUUUGGAACGCCAAAGGUGAAAACAGACAGCUGGGAGUGUGCUGACGCUGAGACACGAAAGCCAGGGGAGCGAACGGG